CAGAGAAUAGUUUAAUUAAAAUAUUAAUUUUGGAGAUUAAUGAUAAGUGUUUAUAUUUUUCUCUGA
rnacentral:tRNA from 1 species